GGCGUGUUUCUCUGGGCCCGAGCACCCCAUCUGUCCUGCUCCAUUGACAUUUUCCUCCUGCAGCAGGCAGUGCCGGGGGUGGGGGUUUCUUGGGGCUUCAGCCCUUCCCCUCAUUCUGCUCCUCCCCUGGCAGUUGCUCUCCACCCCUGUGGCAGGCAGCACUAUGGGUAGGGAGUUUUUCUUAGCCUCAGCAUCCUUCACUCCCUGUCUCUCCCGUUGCAGUGAUCUGCCUUGGGCAGGCGGUGCCAUGGAGCCAGAGACCCGCAGCAUCCAGAUUGAGUUCCCGCACUAUGCUGCGGUGCUGCUGGAAUCACUCAACAAGCACCGCUUGGAGGGCAAGUUCUGCGACAUCUCCAUCCACGUGCAGGGCCGGGUCUUCCAGGCUCACAAGAGUGUGCUGGCCGCCUCCUCGCCCUACUUCCAUGACAAGCUGCUCCUUAACGACACCAACUGCAUUGUGCUGCCCAGUGUCAUUGAGCCAGAGGCCUUUGAGAAUUUGCUACAGCUCAUCUACUCUGGCCGUCUCAAGCUGCUGAUGGAGGCACUGCCCAGUCACCUGCUGGUGGCCAGCGGGCUGCAGAUGUGGCAGGUGGUGGACCAGUGCUCUGAGAUCCUUAAAGAGCUGGAGGGGGGACCCUGCCGUCCCUGGUCCAGCCGGGCAAGCGAGAGCCAGUCCCCCAGUAGCAGCAACUAUUUUGCUGUGAAGGAUGAUGGGGAGCCAGGGGGCAGCAGCUCAGAGGGGCCUGGGCAUGGUGGGGUGUCAUCAGGCCGGGCAGCUCCAGGCUGCCUUGACAAUGAGGUGAUGAAGAUCCGGGUGUCACAGGAGGAAGAGGAGGAGGAAGAGGAGGAGGAGGACCAUCAGGCUCAGAUCUGUAGCGGCUCAAUGGACAAGGCUGUGAAGAUUGUACUGGAGGAAGAUGAAGAGGGUGGUGGCAGAGGUGGCUCCAAGGGGCCGUCUUCAGGGGAGCUGGACAGUGCCUUCCAUGGCCCCCGUGACCACCCCAAGAUCUUCUACAUCAAGCAGGAGCACUUUGACCCUGAUGAGGCAGCAGGGGCAGCACUGGGAGGUGGUGUGAGUGCUGCGGGUGAGGCCAGCUUUCUCAAGUCGCUGGCACAGGGUCGGGCGUUGGGCAUGGCUGAGGUUCAGGGCCUGUGCCAGGCGGAGUUCCAGCCAAGCAGUGAAGUUAGCUACAUAAUCCCUGCUGCAGGCACUGGUGCCACCUCCUCCUCCUCCAUCACUGCCCCUGGCUUCACCAUUAAGGCCCAGCCCCUCUCCUCUGAAGAGGCCGGGUUCCCCCAGAGCUCCUGGAAGCCAGUGGACCUACAUGGCAAUGAGAUCAUUGCCCAUGCGGUGCAUGGCCAGGUGGUGCAUGCGCCCGUUAAAAUUGUGACGGCACCUGAUGGAAAGAAGUUUGGCUGCCUUUGUGGCAAGCGCUUUGCUGUCAAGCCUAAGCGUGACCGGCACAUCAUGCUGACCUUCAGUUUGCGCCCCUUUGGCUGUUCCGUCUGCAACAAGAAGUUCAAGCUGAAACACCACCUGACGGAGCACAUGAAGACCCACGAUGGGAACCUGUAUUCAUGCGAGGAUUGUGGGCGCAAGUUCCGUGUGCAGAACUGCUUCCUCAAGCACAAGGAGCUGUGCAAGGGCCAGGGCUGGGCCACUGCUUGCUGGACCUACAAAUAAAACCUGGGGUAGGACUGAUGGAGGACUCCUGCCAGCCUUCUCUAGGCCUGAUUUAGCCCCUGAGCUCUGUUGCUCUGUAUCCUUGCGGAUCUGCCCUCCUGAGCUUGGUAACCUGCUCCAGGGCCCUGGGGACACCAAAACAUGAAGGGACACAAAUGGGAGCUGGGCAGACCAGGGGAUUUGGCCCCAGCAUGUUGGCUCCCCAUGCUGCUUCAUGGCUUAGUGUUUCUGACAUACAGAACCUGCCAUGGGUCAAAGGAGGGGAGAUGUCCCAGGCUAAUGUUGGAGCUCAGGGCAGGAGGAUGGAGCAAGAGGCUGAUGGGAACCUCAAGGCUAGGGAUUAACAGCCACAUUACAUCCCUAUUCCCAAUCUGGCCUUGCCCUCCUCUGAAAGAAUACUGCUCUGUUGUGAGUGGACUCAACUGCUGGAUCCCACAUACUCUUCACUCAGCUGAGUCUGGGCAAAGCUGUGUCACUGUUCCUGCCUCUGGGUUUAUAAGGCACACUCCUAGGUGUGGAUUCCAUGGCUGCUGCCUUUCCUUGGGACGUGGGAAUCUGCAGCCCAACCACCCUAGCCACCAAAACCAGCACCUCAGCCUUCCCCAGCCCUCAACUGCUUGUACACAUUCCCUCAGAAUCUGCCUUGCUGUGGGCGCUCAGGGCAGAUGACUAACCCCUUAGGGACAAUAAGGGCUGCCACAGAUGGGAAAAGGGCCAAACCCCAUCCCUGAUACCCACUUCAUCCUUGGGCACCUGCCCUGUACUCCUCUACCCCCUCCAUGGAUGCCUCCCCCCAUACACCCCCUGCCCCCUCUUACC